GCGGUUGUGGCGGAAUGGCAGACGCGCUACUUUGAGGGGGUAGUGGGUGAAAACUCGUGGGGGUUCAAGUCCCCCCGACCGCACCA
rnacentral:tRNA from 2 species